rnacentral:snRNA from 8 species
AUACUUACCUGGCAAGGGAGAUACCGUGAUCAAGAAGUCGGUUCACCCAGGGCGAGGCUCAGCCAUUGCACUCCGGCUGUGCUGACCCCUGCGAAUUUCCCAAAUGUGGAAAUCUCGAUUGCAUAAUUUAUGGUAGUGGGGGACUGCGUUCGCGCUCGCCCCUG